rnacentral:lncRNA from 1 species
AGUCCAUGGAUUAACAAAUGUGAGUAAAUGCGUUAUUCAUGUUACGUGUUGUGGCCUUUGUAAUUUGGCAUUAGUUUGGUAGAAAGCAUCAUAAAAGGGGCACGUGAGAGAAGUGGAGGAGAUUAUGAAAGAUCCAAACUAGGAAGAGAGACAUGGAGAAUCCUUUGGAUUGACAAAGACAAACCCCGAGGUUUAGUGCAGUGUUCUUGGCCACUGUUCUCCAUUGAGCCAAGUACGGACCAAUUUAAAUAUAUAUAUUAUAUCCGUCUACUCUAUUUAUGUAUAUACACUGUUACCAUAAGAUUCGUAUAUAAUAAUUGGUUAUAGGUUAUGUGUGUGUUACUUAGGAUUAUAACUGAGAUUA